ensembl:lncRNA
UUUCAUCUGAAAAAUAAGGAAAAAUCUAAUUGAAGAAGAAGUAAACCUGAGAGAAUUGUGGAACAGAGGUAUGAAGGAGGGGCUUGCUAAAGGAAGCCAGGACAGUCUCGCCAUGCAAUUUAAUCACUGUAUACCCAGGAGGAAGCUGCGGUCCUGUGUUUACUGGCACGUUAGAUCCAAGCGUCAGGUGCUCCUGCCAUGAUUAUGAGUGUCCAAUCUACAUCUGUAUGUAAAUAUAUGUCGCUUCUUGCAUUCUAAAAACGGAAUAAUGAUUGCAUCGAGAAGCCUCCUCCUCAAAAAAUUACAUAUUCUAUUAAUAAAUCAAAUAAUAUAUAGAUUAUUUAAUUAAAAGGUUUUUUGAACACAGGUCCACAGGUACUGAAAUAUAUUUAUUUAGUAAAUUCUAAUAAAGUUUAAAUUAUAAUUUGAAUCCAGGUCCACAGAUACUGAAUUUGAUUCAGAAGCCUCCUCAGAUUUCAUAGUAAUGUUUUCUUUUUUUGUUGUUGUUGUUAACAACUGUUUAUUGUUUUUUUACUGGAAAUAUUAUUAUAAAACAAAUAGCAUCUGUACAAAUUUAGAACCUACCCCAACCUUGGUAGACUUAAAUAAAUAAAUAAAUAAAUAAAUAAUAACAAUAAAAUAAUUUUUACAAAGAUUUUAGAAAAACUGACACAACAUUAAAAGCUAAAUGCCAUACAUUUACAGUUUUC